UGUUUAAUAAUUUAAAUAGAACUUGCCCAGUGCUUACUAGUAAACGGCCGCGUUAGUGCUAAGGUAGCAUAAUAAUUUGUUAUUUAAUUGAUAAAUAGAAUGAAAAGUCUUACUCUUACUUACUAUUUUAAUAUAAAUAUUAGAAUUUGAAUUUAAGAUGAAAAUUUCUUUAUAAUUUAUUGGACGAGAAGACCCUAGAAUCUGAAAUUUAUUGGGGCAAUAAAAAUCUAAUUCACUUACUUUAAACCCUACUAGAUUAAUUAAGAUCCUCUAGGGUUAACAGCAUAAAAGAGAAUUUAGACCUAAUUUUAUUUUCAGUUAUGACCUCGAUGUUGAAUUAAGGGCCUUAUUGGUGCAGACGUUAAUAAGAAAGGUCUGUUCGACCUCCCCCCC
rnacentral:rRNA from 1 species